rnacentral:rRNA from 1 species
GUACUCCUACGGGGGGCAGCAGUGGGGAAUAUUGGGCAAUGGGCGCAAGCCUGACCCAGCAACGCCGCGUGAAGGAAGAAGGCUUUCGGGUUGUAAACUUCUUUUAUUGAGGACGAAACAAAUGACGGUACUCAAUGAAUAAGCCACGGCUAACUACGUGCCAGCAGCCGCGGUAAUACGUAGGUGGCAAGCGUUAUCCGGAUUUACUGGGUGUAAAGGGCGUGUAGGCGGGACUGCAAGUCAGAUGUGGAACCCAUGGGCUCAACCCAUGGCCUGCCUUUUAAACUGUAUUUCU